UGCCAGCAGCCGCGGUAAUACAGAGGGUGCAAGCGUUAAUCGGAAUUACUGGGCGUAAAGCGCGCGUAGGUGGUUUGUUAAGUUGAAUGUGAAAUCCCCGGGCUCAACCUGGGAACUGCAUCCGAAACUGGCAGGCUAGAGUCUUGUAGAGGGGGGUAGAAUUCCAGGUGUAGCGGUGAAAUGCGUAGAGAUCUGGAGGAAUACCGGUGGCGAAGGCGGCCCCCUGGACAAAGACUGACGCUCAGGUGCGAAAGCGUGGGGAGCAAACAGGAUUAGAUACCCUGGUAGUCCACG
rnacentral:rRNA from 1 species